UACGAAGGGGGCUAGCGUUGCUCGGAAUCACUGGGCGUAAAGGGUGCGUAGGCGGGUCUUUAAGUCAGGGGGGAAAUCCUGGAGCUCAACUCCAGAACUGCCUUUGAUACUGAGGAUCUUGAGUACGGGAGAGGUGAGUGGAACUGCGAGUGUAGAGGUGAGAUUCGUAGAUAUUCGCAAGAACACCAGUGGCGAAGGCGGCUCACUGGCCCGUAACUGACGCUGAGGCGCGAAAGCUAGGGGAGCAAACGGG
rnacentral:rRNA from 1 species